rnacentral:rRNA from 1 species
GACAGAGGGUGCAAACGUUGUUCGGAAUUACUGGGCGUAAAGCGCGUGUAGGCUGCUCUGCAAGUCGGAUGUGAAAGCCCUGGGCUCAACCUAGGAAGUGCACUCGAAACUGCAGAGCUUGAGUCUCGGAGAGGAUCGCGGAAUUCUCGGUGUAGAGGUGAAAUUCGUAGAUAUCGAGAGGAACACCGGUGGCGAAGGCGGCGAUCUGGACGAUGACUGACGCUGAGACGCGAAAGCGUGGGGAGCGAACAGG